rnacentral:lncRNA from 1 species
AUCCCAGCACUUUGAGAGUCUGAGGCAGGAGGAUUGCUUGAACCCAGGAGUUUGAGGCUGCAAUGCAUUACAAUUGCACUCCAGCCUGGGUGAAAGCAAGACCUUGUCUCAAAAACAAAAAGUGUUAGCAAAGGUGGAGAAAUCUGAACACUUAUGCACUGUUGCUGGAAAUGUGAAAUGGCACAGUCACCAUGGAAAACAUGGUAGUUCCCUAAAAAAUUUAAAAGAGAAUUAGGGCCCAGUGUGGUGGCUCACGCCUGUAAUCCCAGCAUUUGCCCAGGCUGCAGUGGCGCAGUUUUGGCUCACCGCAACCUCUGCCUAAGCAAUUCUCCUGCCUCAGCCUGCCAAGUAGCUGGAACUACAGGAGUGCACCACCACACCCAGCUCAUUUUUAUAUUUUUAGUAGAGAUGGGGUUUCACCAUAUUGGCCAGGC